GCCAUGCCGCGUGUAUGAAGAAGGCCUUCGGGUUGUAAAGUACUUUCAGCGAGGAGGAAGGCAUUAAGGUUAAUAACCUUGGUGAUUGACGUUACUCGCAGAAGAAGCACCGGCUAACUCCGUGCCAGCAGCCGCGGUAAUACGGAGGGUGCAAGCGUUAAUCGGAAUUACUGGGCGUAAAGCGCACGCAGGCGGUCUGUUAAGUCAGAUGUGAAAUCCCCGGGCUCAACCUGGGAACUGCAUUUGAAACUGGCAGGCUUGAGUCUUGUA
rnacentral:rRNA from 1 species